rnacentral:rRNA from 1 species
UACAGAGGUCUCAAGCGUUGUUCGGAUUCAUUGGGCGUAAAGGGUGCGUAGGCGGCGCGGUAAGUCGGGUGUGAAAUCUCGGGGCUUAACUCCGAAACUGCAUUCGAUACUGCCGUGCUUGAGGACUGGAGAGGAGACUGGAAUUUACGGUGUAGCGGUGAAAUGCGUAGAUAUCGUAAGGAAGACCAGUGGCGAAGGCGGGUCUCUGGACAGUUCCUGACGCUGAGGCGCGAAGGCCAGGGGAGCAAACGGGG